rnacentral:lncRNA from 1 species
CAGAGCAGACUUUAUUUAACAAAAUAAAAAUAAAACAAGAUACCCAACAAUUAAUAAAAAAGAGAAGUUUUAUAUUUGAACUCAUAAAUAGUGAAGAAAAUGUUUUCAUUCUUUGAGAGAAUCCUCAGGAUCAAUGUUCUCAUGGAAGAUAAAUGAAACUGAUAAAUCAUUAAUAAUGAUAAUAAUUCCCUCUAUAUGAGAGGAUUAAAAGCUCUAUAACAUUCAUAUUGCCUUUAUUUAUUAUUAUAAAAUCUUUGACUAAUUCUGCAGUCAUCACAUAUUCAUAUACUAGAAAUACAUAAAGCUUACCCAAGUAUAAUGAGAAUAGUAGAUUAUUAGAUAUUAAAUGAAAAAGUUACAAUAUAUUGUCUGAGGACCACAAAGAAUGUACCAAAUGUUCCAGGGCUGUAAAGAGCAAAUCAUUGUUGAAUAGUGGUUACUGAACAAAAUACAAAAGGAUCCGAUAAUAUUUAAACUACUUAGUGUUGGCUACAGAAAAAAGUUUGCCUUAUUUCUAUAUUUAUUUUUAUUUAAUAUAUUGCAGAUUAUAAAUAUAAAUAUAGCCAAUUGGGAUAAUUUUAUCUAAAUGGAAAAUUUUUAAAAAUUAGAAUAUUAAAAUGUAAAUGUGAUUAUAGAUUAAGUAAAUCAAUUAUCAUUCUUUCAUUUAAAAUAAAUACUAAAAUGCUACAUUCUCUUAUCUCAACAAGGUAAGAGUAAGUACCAAUCGAUUAAUUCAUUACAGAAUUUAAAAUAAGAGAGACAAUUUCUUGAUGAACUGGAGUGAUGCUGCACAGAAAAUAGAAGUGUGACUAGGAAAGCUUGAUAGUGACCUAGUUCAGAACCUGAGAGAUUUGAGUAAGUUCAGGGAAGACAAUAUCUUCUUCCCAUUAACCUGUGCAGUACCUUGUGAAAUUGAGUGGUCCUGCAAUAUUCCCAGUUGCCAUCAUCUUAACACUCUCACCAGAUCAGCUGAUAGAUCACAGUGUUUGCACCAGGAACAAAGGGCAUAUUGGACUGCAAUUCUACAUUCUGUAAGUAGAUCAUGAAAAAACUUAUCCAUAUAUCAGGAGAAUAUCUUGAGAACUUGGGCCAAAGGACUCCCAGAGCUCAGUUGUCUCAGUUGCAACCUCUCUUAAUUCAAUGGAUAAAUUUGAGAUCACUUUCACUUGAACAUUUUGGGAAAGAGUAGAUCACAUUUGGAGAAAGGGAUAUUUUAUACCAACCAUUAUUACCAAACCACUUUAGUAAACGCCCUUUCUAGAAGUUAAAGUAGAAAAUUGCAGGAGUUUGUGAUACAAAAUCAUUGCCAUUGGAAAUGACAGAAAGGUCAUCCUCAAGUCUCCUUUACUCUUUGAUGAAAUCAAAUUGUCCAAGGAAAUG